AUCCCUCCGUGUCACCCACUGUCACCCAUUGUCCUUUCAUUGUCACCCAGUGUCACCCAUUGUCCCGUUAGUGUCACCCAUUGUCCCCUUUGUCACCCCUUGUCCUCCCCAUUGUCACCCAAUGUCCCUCCGUGUCACCCACUGUCACCCAUUGUCCCUUCAGUGUCACCCAGUGUCACCCAUUGUCCCCUUUGUCACCCCUUGUCCUCCCCAUUGUCACCCAAUGUCCCUCCGUGUCACCCACUGUCACCCAUUGUCCCUUCAGUGUCACCCAGUGUCACCCUUUGUCCCCUUAGUGUCACCCGUCGUCCCCUUUGUAACCCGUUGUCCUCCCCAUUGUCACCCAAUGUCUGUCCGUGUCAUCCAGUGUCACCCAUUGUCCCUUCAGUGUCACCCACUGUCACCCAUUGUCCCCUUAGUGUCACCCCUUGUCACCCAUUGUCCCCUUUGGUCCCUCAUUGUCCUCCCUAUUGUCACCCAAUGUCCCUCCGUGUCACCCACUGUCACCCGUUGUCCCUUUAUUGUCACCCUCUGUCCCCUCAUUGUCACCCAGUGUCCUCUCACUGUCACCCACUGUCCCCCCACUGUCACCCAGUCACCACUGUCAUCCAUUGUCCCUUCAGUGUCCCCCCAUUGUCCCUUCAGUGUCACCCAGUGUCACCCCAUUGUCACCCAUUGACACCCACUGUCACCCAUUGUCCCCUCAGUGUCCCUUCGUUCGUCACCCAAUGUCCCUCAGUGUCACCCAUUGUCCCUUCAGUGUCACCCACUGUCACCCAUUGUCCCCUUAGUGUCACCCGUUGUCACCCACUGUCACCUAAUGUCCCUUAGUGUCACCCAAUGUCCCCCCAUUGUCACCCACUGUCAAACAUUGUCCAUUCAGUGUCCCCUCGGUGUCCUCUGUUGUCACCCAUUGUCACCCCACUGUCACCCAUUGUCCCUUCAGUGUCACCCAGUGUCACCAUUGUCCCCUUAGUGUUGCCCAUUGUCACCCAUCGUCCCUUCAGUGUCACCCAUUGUCACCCAAUGUCAUCUAUUGUCCCUCAGUGUCACCCAUUGUCCUCCCAUUGUCACCCAUUGUCACCCAGUGUCCCCUCACUUUCACCCAGUGUCCCUUCAGUGUCCCCCCAUUGUCCCCCCAUUGUCACCCAUUGUCCCUCAGUGUCACCCAUUGUCACCUAGUGUCCCUUCAUUGUCACCCGGUGUCCCUCAGUGUCCCCCCAUUGUCACCCAACUGUCACUCACUGUCCCUUCAGUGUCACCCAUUGUCCCCUUAGUGUCACCCCUUGUCACCCAGUGUCCCUUCAUUGUCACCCAGUAUCCCCCACUGUCCCCCCAUUGUCACCCCACUGUCACCCAAUGUCACCCAUCAUCCCUUCAGUGUCACCCAAUGUCACCUAUUGUCCCUCAUUGUCACCUGUUGUCCUUUCAGUGUCACCCGUUGCCACCCGGUGUCACCUAUUGUGCUUCAGUGUCACCCAUUGUCCCCUUAGUGUCACCCCUUGUCACCCCUUGUCACCCAGUGUCCCUUCAGUGUCACCCACUGUCCCCCCACUGUCACCCCACUGUCACUCAAUGUCACCCACCGUCCCUUCAGUGUCACCCAGUGUCACCUAUUGUCCCUCAGUGUCACCCAUUGUCCCUUCAUUGUCACCCGUUGUCCCCCCGUUGUCACCCAC
ensembl:lncRNA